AUGUCCCAGUAUGAAUCAUUCUGUGAUGUUUAGACUGUUCCAAUAGUAGCACUGCUUACAUCCCUUUCCCUAGAUGUACAUUAGUAAUGAAUGUGAUGAACAGUCAUUCCAAUAUGAUGUAUGGUAUUUCAUUAAAUUAUGUAAUGAGACAGAAAUUCAAUGAACAAUAAUAACUAAUGCAUUCUGUUUUACAUGAUCAUUAUUCAUGACUCUCCAUCUUGGAUAAUGGAUGAUCAGCAAGACUAUUAGACUCAGGAUCAGAGUAUUUACAACGUGAGACCCAGGAGGACAAGCUGAAGAGGGAGGCAUCAGCUGGUGAGCUUGAGUUGAAGAUGGAAAAAGAAUUAAAAGAGAAAUUAAGACAGAAGAUGAUGAAACAACUAGAGGAGAAAGACACACAACUGGAUGAUAUGACCCAGGAAGUGAGAGAGAAAGACACACAACUGGAUGAUAUGACCCAGGAAGUGAGAGAGAAAGAGAGACUCCUGGAUGAUAUGACCCAGGAAGUGAGAGAGAAAGAGAGACUCCUGGAGGAGAAGAACCAGAUAAUGGAACAGAGGGACAAACAAUUAGAAGAGAAAGAAAACCAACUGGAAGAGAAAGACAAGCAACUAAAGGAUAGAGACAUUCAACUAGAGGCUCUGAGAAAGAACCUGCAGGACAAGAACAGCAAAGUAGAGAACUUCAGAGUCCUACUGCAGGAAAAAGACCUUCAACUAGAGGACAGGAACCACAGACUGGGAGAGAAGGACAGACUACUGGAAGAGAGAGACAAACUACUGCGGGAAAAAGACCUUCAACUAGAGGACAGAGACCACAGACUGGGAGAGAAGGACAGACUACUGGAAGAGAGAGACAAACUACUGCAGGA